rnacentral:lncRNA from 1 species
UGGCUCAGUGCUGUCGAUUGCGUUGCAUGUGCUUCACGGUUCCUGCAAUGCUAAUUCUGUUUGUUGUCUCGUUGUUCUUCAGUCCCCACCUUGUUUUAGGUCAUGUGCUUCUCGUGUCUCCAUUCGUUAGAUACAAAGUUAGGUGAGAUGUCCAGGAAUAAUAUGUGGUUGGUAUACCGUGUCUUGUAUUUGGACGAGCUCAUGCUAAUAUGUGGUUGGUACACUACCUGGGCAAGGUCAUUUUGAUACUGAUACUUGUGGGCAGCAGAGGGUUCAAAGCCUGACCAUCUACUCAGGUGCUUAAUUACGCCCCACGCUUCUUCGUUCCUUGUUCAAAUAUGAUUGGAGUAUCUUUAUCUCCCGUCUCAUGGAUCCUGAUAAUAUCCCAGAAGUAAAUAUUGUUGCUUGCUUCAUCUCUACUACUUUCUGUAACUGCUUAGUGUUAAGCUCUUGACUAUGCAUGUGCGGGUAGUUCUGAACAUUUGCUACUAACUGACGCCAAGCACAUCCAAUUGUGGUUCACUGCAGAUUGCCAAUGCCAAUUUACCAAUGAUUUCAGGUCUGCGAAAGUUGGAUUUUGGAUAGGCUUUCAAGAGCGUGACCGAAGCAGAGACACACACAUGUUUGUACGCUUGAAUUCUGAUGCCACCACCUAAUACUGCAGAUCCGUAGAGGCCAUGAAUGGCCUAG